rfam:Hordeum vulgare subsp. vulgare, WGS project CAJW01000000 data, contig: morex_contig_71342
CUGGUACUUUCUUCGUUUUAAAAUUCUUGUCUUAGGUUUGUCUAGUAAUGAAUGUAUCUAAACACUAAAACAUGACUAGAUACAUUCAUAUUUAGACAAAUCUAAGACAAAAAAUUUGAGACGGAGAGAGUAUAUA